GUUUUUCAUAUCCCACGUCUAAAGUCUGAGCCGUGGGCCCCCUAAAGAGGAACCAGGUGCACCCCCAGGCAGUGUGCUGUCAGGACAGUCGAGGGUUCAAACAUCUAAAAUUAAAAUGCCUAGGACUCACACGUCAAUGCAGCAGAAUUUCCAGGCGACUUCGGAGGCUGCCGGGGACCGAGCACCUCUUAGGCACAGCUGUGCACAUCACUCCGCCACCAUCUGACCUACGGGAAAUGAAAUCUGAGCUCUGGAAUCUGAUCGGCCCCACGCACGCUCUUUCCCGGAGAAGCCUCCAAGACAGGCACAUCAUUCUCCACUGCGAGAUUAUUUAGGGCGAUGUCCGGGAUGGGUCAGGGAGACAGAUGACAGCCCGAGGGGCGAUGGGGAAACUUUACUGUAGACGCUAAAGCAACAACUGUCUGGGCCUCGAAGAAGGGGCGGGAGGUGGGGGAGUGCAGAGAUUAUCCCUCAGAAACCCGACACUCGCAGGGCCCCUGGCUUUUUCUAAAUCAGUGGGUGCUGGAGCAAGAGUGUGGGGAAACUUUUCCCAGUACAGGAUUCAUAUUCCUGAAACUUAGGCGUGAGCUGAGUUCAGCUCUCCUUCCACUUCAGGAUUUUAACCCCCUAAAUUUUUGGCUUUAACCACCAAGAAUAAUUUCUUAGAAUCAAAUCAGUAAAGGGCAUUUCCAUUAAAUAUUACUGGGCAGGAGAGAUUCGGUUUCGCCAGCUCAUCGUAUC
rnacentral:lncRNA from 1 species